AUUGAACGCUGGCGGCAGGCUUAACACAUGCCAGUCGAACGAGUGUCGGACGGGUGAGUACUGCUUUGGAAUCUAGCUUAUGGAGGGGUAUAACUACGGGAAACUUUAGAUAAUACCGCGUACCAUACGAUGAGCCCCAGUGGGAUUAGGUAGUUGGUGAUGUAAAGGCUCACCAAGCCGACGAUCUCUAGCUGGUCUGAGAGGAUGACCAGCCACACUGGGACUGAGAAACGGCCCAGACUCCGACGGGAGGCAGCAGUGGGGAAUAUUGCGCAAUGGGGGCAACCUGACGCAGCCAUGCCGCGUGAAUGAAGAAGGCCUUCGGGUUGUAAAGUUCUUUCGGUAGCUAGGCGUUAACUACAGAAGAAGCACCGGCUAACUCCGUGCCAGCAGCCGCGGUAAUAC
rnacentral:rRNA from 1 species